rnacentral:rRNA from 1 species
UUGAGCUUCGGCCGAUUUCUAAGAUGGACAGCGGCGAAAGGGAGAGUAAUGAGUGGAUUACCUACCCCCAGGACCGGGAUAGCUGUGGGAAACCGCAGGUAAUACCGGAUAAUAUCUCCGGAUCAAAUGGUGAGAUUCCGCCAGGGGAUGGGUCCGCUUCCUAUUAGCUUGUUGGUGGGGUAACGGCCUACCAAGGCAACAAUGGGUACCGGGUGUGAGAGCAUGGCCCGGCUCACUGGGACUGAGACACUGCCCAGACACCUACGGGUGGCUGCAGUCGAGAAUCUUCCGCAAUGGGCGAAAGCCUGACGGAGCGACGCCGCGUGCGGGAUGAAGGCCUUCGGGUUGUAAACCGCUGUCAGUUGGGAGGAAAUCUAUGAGGGUUAUCCCUCAUAGUUGACCUAUCUUCAGAGGAAGGACGGGCUAAGUUCGUGCCAGCAGCCGCGGUAAUACGAACUGUGCAAACGUUAUUCGGAAUCACUGGGCUUAAAGGGUGCGUAGGCGGGUUUAAAGGUCUGAUGUGAAAGCCCACGGCUCAACCGUGGAAUUGCGUUGGAAACCAUGAACCUUGAGGGAGUCAGAGGUAAGCGGAACUGAUGGUGGAGCGGUGAAAUGCGUUGAUAUCAUCAGGAACACCGGUGGCGAAAGCGGCUUACUGGGACUCUUCUGACGCUGAGGCACGAAAGCUAGGGGAGCGAACGGGAUUAGAUACCCCGGUAGUCCUAGCUGUAAACGAUCAGUACUAGUCUGUGGGGACUUCCACAUCCUCUCCGGACGUAGCGAAAAGUGUUAAGUACUGCGCCUUGGGGA